GACGGAGGGUGCUAGCGUGGUUCGGAAUUACUGGGCGGAAAGGGCGCGUAGGCGGCCUGGUCAGUCGGAUGUGAAAGCCCGGGGCUCAACCCCGGAACGGCAUCCGAGACGGCCAGGCUGGAGACCGGGAGAGGAGAGUGGAAUAGCCAGUGUAGAGGUGAAAUUCGUAGAUAUUGGCUGGAACACCGGUGGCGAAAGCGGCUCUCUGGCCCGGUUCUGACGCUGAGGCGCGAAAGCGUGGGGAGCAAACAGG
rnacentral:rRNA from 1 species